GACGAACGCUGGCGGCGUGCUUAACACAUGCAAGUCGAACGGAAAGGCCCUGCUUUUGUGGGGUGCUCGAGUGGCGAACGGGUGAGUAACACGUGAGUAACCUGCCCUUGACUUUGGGAUAACUUCAGGAAACUGGGGCUAAUACCGGAUAGGAGCUCCUGCUGCAUGGUGGGGGUUGGAAAGUUUCGGCGGUUGGGGAUGGACUCGCGGCUUAUCAGCUUGUUGGUGGGGUAGUGGCUUACCAAGGCUUUGACGGGUAGCCGGCCUGAGAGGGUGACCGGGCAGAUGGGGAGUGUGAGACGGAGCAGAAGGCUGCGGGAGGGAGCGGUGGGGAGUAUGGCAUAGUGGGCUGAGGGCUGUUGCAGGCUCGCCGCGUGGGGGAUGAGGGAGGGAGGGGUGUGAACAGAGUUGGACUGUGACGAAGCGUGAGGGAAGGGACGGGGGAAAGAAGCAACGGCUAACUACGUG
rnacentral:rRNA from 1 species